rnacentral:rRNA from 1 species
UACGGGGGGGGCAAGCGUUGUUCGGAAUUACUGGGCGUAAAGGGUUCGUAGGUGGCCAACUAAGUCAGACGUGAAAUCCCUCAGCUUAACUGGGGAACUGCGUCUGAUACUGGUUGGCUUGAGUGCAGGAGAGGAACGCGGAAUUCCAGGUGUAGCGGUGAAAUGCGUAGAUAUCCGGAGGAACACCAGUGGCGAAGGCGACACGCUGGGCCGUACCUGACACUGAGGCGCGAUAGCAUGGGGGAGCAAACAGGG